CCUACGGGAGGCUGCAGUAGGGAAUUUUGGGCAAUGGGCGAAAGCCUGACCCAGCAACGCCGCGUGUGGGAUGAAGGCCCUCGGGUCGUAAACCACUGUCAGGAGGAAAGCGGUACCUCCAAAGGAAGCACCGGCUAACUCCGUGCCAGCAGCCGCGGUAAUACGGAGGGUGCAAGCGUUGUUCGGAAUUACUGGGCGUAAAGCGCGUGUAGGUGGUCGAGUAAGUCGAAUGUGAAAGCCCCGGGCUCAACCCGGGAAGUGCAUCCGAAACUGCUCGACUAGAGUCCCGGAGAGGAAGGCAGAAUUCCCAAUGUAGGGGUGAAAUCCGUAGAUAUUGGGAGGAUACCGGUGGCGAAGGCGGCCUUCUGGACGUACUGACACUCAGACGCGAAAGCGUGGGGAGCAAACAGGAUUAGAUACCCUUGUAGUC
rnacentral:rRNA from 1 species